CCCAAAGGAGCUAAUUUGUCAAUGUUAAACUUUCAAAUUUCAUUUUAGACUCAUGCAUCACCAUGGGACCUGAGCAGGACCUGAAGAAACCUAGGAGGCAGACCCAGGUGGACCUCCUGCUUUACACUUUGCUCCAAACAUGAGUGAAAGUGGUACAUAGAAGCAUGCAGCAGAGGCACAAUUCCACAACAAUUUCCAAGACUUCCUGCAAAAGCUUGAAAGCCCCCCACAGCCCUGCACUGGAAUAAGCAGGUAUAGAAAGCAGAUGGAUGGAUGGUUUACUCAAAGAUGGAUACAAAUGCAGAUGUGACAUGACAGACAUGGUGAUGCAUACAGUGUAUAAAAUGCACAGUCAAAAGGGAGAAGUGACUCAGUUAAACAGAGGGAGGUGGGACUGGUCAUAAAGUUUACAAAAAAGUUUGGAUACUGGAUGCCGUCUGCAGUUGAAAAUAUUCAGUGCAUCAUAAAACAUAAAAAACAAGUAAGAAGACGCAGAUCUCCUGAACAGAUAGAAUCCUAUACAAAGAAAGAAUGAGACAACAUUCCUCUCCAAUAGGUCCAACAGCUGAUCUCUUCAGUUCCCACGUUUACAUUGUUGUGUAAAGAAGAUGCUACUAUUAAAGUUAAAUUCAUUCCUUUACAUUUAAUAACAAUUCAGUUAAAAGGUAAAAUGGUAACAUCAAGGAUUAACAAUUUCAUUAUGGUUCUCAAUGUAUCAGAUAAAAUGCAUAAUUUGAUAAUGUAGAAUUUCUGUUGAAAACUGUUUUGAAUUUGGGCUUACAAUGAGGCAAUGCUACAUCACUGUGAUGCUGAUAGAUGAGGUGUAAUUAGUCAGACUAAAGCCAGAUAUAUU